rnacentral:sRNA from 1 species
GUCGUGAGAUGUUGGGUUAAGUCCCGCAACGAGCGCAACCCUUGUUCGAUGUUGCCAGCGGUUCGGCCGGGGACUCAUCGAAGACUGCCGGGGUCAACUCGGAGGAAGGUGGGGAUGACGUCAAGUCAUCAUGCCCCUUAUGUCCAGGGCUUCACGCAUGCUACAAUGGCCGGUACAAAGGGCUGCGAUACCGUGAGGUGGAGCGAAUCCCAAAAAGCCGGUCUCAGUUCGGAUCGGGGUCUGCAACUCGACCCCGUGAAGUCGGAGUCGCUAGUAAUCGCAGAUCAGCAACGCUGCGGUGAAUACGUUCCCGGGCCUUGUACACACCGCCCGUCACGUCACGAAAGUCGGCAACACCCGAAGCCGGUGGCCCAACCCUUGUGGAGGGAGCCGUCGAAGGUGGGGCUGGCGAUUGGGACGAAGUCGUAACAAGGUAGCCGUACCGGAAGGUGCGGCUGGAUCACCUCCUUUCUAAGGAGCACCUUCAGCCGAAAGGCUGCAAGGAGCCCGCACCGCCCGACUGUGGUGGUGGGGUUGCUCGAUGGCGGAGACACUGGCGAAGUUUUUCUGGCAACGGUUGUUGCGUGAGUACUGCACGGCCUUCGGGUUGGGCGUGGAAAGCGCAUCGAUGCGGCUUGAAACAACAUACAGGCAUCCUGUUGGGUCCUGAAACAAUCAGCACACGAACUGUGUGGGGGUUGUUUUGGACGGAAUCCACAUCAGUGUGCAGAACCGUGUCGGCGUGCCGGCGUAGGCUGUGCCUGACAAAAUGGUGUGGGUUUGGUGUUGGUUGAGAAUUGCACAGUGGAUGCGAGCAUCUUUAAAGCUUUUUUGUGGUCAAGUUGCUGAGGGCGUACGGUGGAUGCCUUGGCACCAGGAGCCGAUGAAGGACGUGGGAGGCCGCGAUAGGCCUGGGGGAGCUGUCAACCGAGCUGUGAUCCCAGGGUGU